rnacentral:rRNA from 1 species
GAUGAACGCUGGCGGCGUGCCUAAUACAUGCAAGUCGAGCGAACAGACGCGGCGUUUGCUCCUUUCACGUUUGCGGCGGACGUGUGAGUAACAUGUGUAUCCCCUCCUUAUCUGUCUGGGAUCAUUUCGGGACUCCGGCGCUAAUCCCAGAUAAUCUCUUGAACCGCAGGGUUCAAUAGUAAAAUACGGCUUUUCUGUCUCUUAUCGAUGGUUACGCGCCGCUUUAGCUAGUUGGUACGGUAACGGCUUACCACGGCGACGAUGCGUAUCCGACCUGAGAGGGUGAUCGGCCACACUGGAACGGAGACACGGUCCAGACGCCUGCGGGAGGCAGCAGUAGGGAAUCUGCCGCAAUGGGCGGAAGCCUGACGGAGCGACGCGGCGUGAGUGAUGAAGGUCUUCGGAUCGUAAAGCUCUGUUAUUAGGUGAGAACAGAUGUGGAAGGAACUAUGGACGUAGUGACGGUAACGAAUCAGAAAGCCACGGCUAACUACGUG